GGUAGUCCACGCCGUAAACGAUGUCGACUUGGAGGUUGUGCCCUUGAGGCGUGGCUUCCGGAGCUAACGCGUUAAGUCGACCGCCUGGGGAGUACGGCCGCAAGGUUAAAACUCAAAUGAAUUGACGGGGGCCCGCACAAGCGGUGGAGCAUGUGGUUUAAUUCGAUGCAACGCGAAGAACCUUACCUGGUCUUGACAUCCACGGAAGUUUUCAGAGAUGAGAAUGUGCCUUCGGGAACCGUGAGACAGGUGCUGCAUGGCUGUCGUCAGCUCGUGUUGUGAAAUGUUGGGUUAAGUCCCGCAACGAGCGCAACCCUUAUCCUUUGUUGCCAGCGGUCCGGCCGGGAACUCAAAGGAGACUGCCAGUGAUAAACUGGAGGAAGGUGGGGAUGACGUCAAGUCAUCAUGGCCCUUACGACCAGGGCUACACACGUGCUACAAUGGCGCAUACAAAGAGAAGCGACCUCGCGAGAGCAAGCGGACCUCAUAAAGUGCGUCGUAGUCCGGAUUGGAGUCUGCAACUCGACUCCAUGAAGUCGGAAUCGCUAGUAAUCGUGGAUCAGAAUGCCACGGUGAAUACGUUCCCGGGCCUUGUACACACCGCCCGUCACACCAUGGGAGUGGGUUGCAAAAGAAGUAGGUAGCUUAACCUUCGGGAGGGCGCUUACCACUUUGUGAUUCAUGACUGGGGUGAAGUCGUAACAAGGUAACCGUAGGGGAACC
rnacentral:rRNA from 1 species